UACGUAGGUGACCAGCGUUGUCCGGAUUUACUGGGCGUAAAGGGCGCGUAGGCGGCCUUCUAAGUCGAACGUGAAAUCCCCCGAGCUCAACUCGGGAACUGCGUCCGAUACUGGUGGGCUUGAAUCCGGGAGAGGGAUGCGGAAUUCCAGGUGUAGCGGUGAAAUGCGUAGAUAUCUGGAGGAAUACCGGUGGCGAAGGCGGCAUCCUGGACCGGCAUUGACGCUGAUGAGCGAAAGCCAGGGGAGCAAACGGG
rnacentral:rRNA from 1 species